rnacentral:rRNA from 1 species
UUAAGAUACUAAGAGCAUACGGUGGAUGCCUUGGCGAUAUCUGCCGACGAAGGACGUGACAAGCUGCGAAAAGCUGCGGAGAGAUGCAAAUAAUCGGCGACCCGCAGACAUCCGAAUGGAGAAAUCCGGCUGUGAUGAUGCACAGCCAUCCAUGCCCAAGAGCAUGAGAAGGGAACCGGGCGAACUGAAACAUCUAAGUAACCCGAGGAAAAGAAAUCAAACGAGAUACCCCAAGUAGCGGCGAGCGAACAGGGAAGAAGCCCAAACUGGUGAAGGAAACUUUGCCGGGGUUGAGGACCAUCAGACCCGCGAAGAACCUUAGCCGAAACUGUUGGGAAACAGUGCCGAAGACAGUGAAAGCCUGGUAGGCGAAAAAGAGAAACGCGGAGAUGGCACCAGAGUACCGCGGGACACGAGAAAUCCCGUGGGAAGCAGGGGGGACCACCCUCCAAGGCAAAACACAGAUAUCGACCGAUAGCGCAUAGUACCAUGAGGGAAAGGUGAAAAGCACCCCGGGAGGGGAAUGAAAGAGAACCUGAAACCGUAUGUUUACAAGCAGUCGGAGACCGCUUAAUAAUAAGGUCGACGGCGUGCCUAUUGAAGAAUGAACCGGCGAGUUACGAAGCCUGGCAAGGUUAAGCAGGAAAUGCGGAGCCGAAGCGAAAGCGAGUCUUAAGAGGGCGCAAGUCAGGAAGCGUAGACCCGAAACCACAGUGAUCUACCCAUGUCCAGGUUGAAACACAGGUAAAAAUGUGUGGAGGACCGAACCUAUAUCCGUUGAAAAGGGUUAGGAUGAGGUGUGGGUAGGGGUGAAAUUCCAAUCGAACGUGGAGAUAGCUGGUUCUCCCCGAAAUAGCUUUAGGGCUAGCCUCAGGGAAAAGAUUGCAGGCGGUAGAGCACUGAUCAGGAGAGGGACCUACCCGGUUACCAAACCCAGUCAAACUCCGAAUGGCUGCAAUCAUACCUGGGAGUCAGACUGCGACUAAUAAGGGCCGCAGUCAAAAGGGAAACAGCCCAGACCAUCAGCUAAGGUCCCCAAUGCCGUGCUAAGUGGAAAAGGAUGUGGCAUUUCAUAAACAACCAGGAUGUUGGCUCAGAAGCAGCCACCAUUUAAAGAGUGCGUAAUAGCUCACUGGUCGAGAGACGCUGCGCCGAAAAUGUCCGGGGCUCAAGCACGGAACCGAAGCUAUGGCAUGAUAGCAAUAUCAUGGGUAGGGGAGCGUUCUUAUAAGGAAGAAGCAUGACCGGAAGGACAUGUGGACAAAUAAGAAGUGAGAAUGCCGGUAUGAGUAUCGAAAAGAAAGGUGAGAAUCCUUUCCACCGAAAGCCCGAGGGUUCCUGAGCAACGAUCGUCGACUCAGGGUAAGUCGGGACCUAAGCCGAGGCGAGAAGCGUAGGCGAUGGACAACAGGUUGAAAUUCCUGUACCGGAUCAAGUCGAUCGAGCGAAGGAGCGACGCAGGAGGGCACAUGAUCGCGCGGCUGGAAGAGCGCGUCCAAGUGCGUAUGUUGCAGCAGAGGAAAACCCCUGCAGCUAAAAGCAGAGACAUGAUGGGGAGUUAAAGGAAACUUUGACGAACUCAUGGAUCCCACACUGCCAAGAAAAACUUCUAGCGAGACAAGAUCCGCCCGUACCGUAAACCGACACAGGUAGGCGGGGAGAGAAUCCUAAGGUGCGCGGGAAAACCCUCGUUAAGGAACUCGGCAAAUUGCAUCCGUAACCUAGGGAGAAGGAUGGCCCCCGGUCAGUGAAGAGCAGAAACGCUCAGAGCUAAAAGGGGCGGCAGAAAAGAGGCCCAAGCAACUGUUUACCAAAAACACAGGUGCCUGCGAAAGCGAAAGCUGAAGUAUAGGUGCUGACGCCUGCCCGGUGCCGGAAGGUUAAGGAGAGAAGUUAGCGAAAGCGAAGCAUCGAACUGAAGCCCCGGUGAACGGCGGCCGUAACUAUAACGGUCCUAAGGUAGCGAAAUUCCUUGUCGGGUAAGUUCCGACCCGCACGAAAGGCGUAACGAUUUGGGCACUGUCUCAACAAUAGACUCGGUGAAAUUGUAAUCCCGGUGAAGAUGCCGGGUACCUGCGACAGGACGGAAAGACCCCAUGGAGCUUUACUGUAGCUUGACGUUGGGUCUUGGUACUACAUGUACAGGAUAGGUGGGAGACUAUGAAGCAUGGACGCCAGUCUGUGUGGAGUCAUCCUUGGGAUACCACCCUUGUAGUACUGGGAUCCUAACCAUAGGCCUUGAAUCAGGUCUUGGAACACCGUCAGGUGGGCAGUUUGACUGGGGCGGUCGCCUCCUAAAAAGUAACGGAGGCGCUCAAAGGUUUCCUCAGCACGGUCGGAAAUCGUGCGAAGAGUGUAAAGGCAAAAGGAAGCUUGAUUGCAAGACAUACAGGUCGAGCAAGGACGAAAGUCGGACUUAGUGAUCCGGUGGUACCGCAUGGAAGGGCCAUCGCUCAACGGAUAAAAGCUACCCUGGGGAUAACAGGCUUAUCUCCCCCAAGAGUCCACAUCGACGGGGAGGUUUGGCACCUCGAUGUCGGCUCAUCACAUCCUGGGGCUGUAGUAGGUCCCAAGGGUUGGGCUGUUCGCCCAUUAAAGUGGUACGCGAGCUGGGUUCAAAACGUCGUGAGACAGUUUGGUUCAUAUCCAUCGCGGGCGCAAGAAGUUUGAGAGGAGCUGCUCCUAGUACGAGAGGACCGGAGUGGACGGAUCAACGGUGUCCCAGUUGUCACGCCAGUGGCACGGCUGGAAAGCCGCAUCCGGGAAGGAUAAACGCUGAAAGCAUCUAAGCGCGAAGCCAACCUCAAGAUGAGACUUCUCAUCAGCAAUGAGUAAGACCCCUUACAGACGAUGAGGUAGAUAGGUUAUGAGUGGAAGAGCCGCAAGGCUUGGAGCGACAUAAAACUAAUAGGUCGAGGUCUUAACUUA